CGGUCGCCGCCGCUCCAGGCCACUCGCGGCGCUGCCCCACCUGACUCGUGCGCCCUCUCCACGAGACGCAUGCCCCUUCUUAGCUCGCCGGUGCCGCCCCCGCCUAAGCCAGUUGCCCAGCGUAUCCUCCUCCCUCAUCCUCUCCCACCCUGGCUACUCCUCCCCAACAACUAAACAUGGCCAUGGCUGCCUCUCUGCCACCACCGCUGGCCUCAUGCACCCCGGCGCACCUUCCUCCUCCACCACCUAGGCAUCUCCUUCCCUCACACGGCAGCGCCAUCCAUCCACCUAGGGGUGCUCGUGCCCGACGUGCCUCCUACACCUAGGUGCGCCGUUUCCCAACCUCGGCUGCGGUCAUGGGUGGCCUUCCGAUGGUAGAUCCAUGGAGCGGUGGCCUCCCUGUGGUGGAUCCAUGGAGCACGAUGCAGAUCUAGCGGUGUGGUGGUCUCCUCCAUCCAGAAGGCAAUGACGGUCCAUCCCCCAUCCAUGGAGGCGGCUCAAUUUGUACCUCGACGGCGCCCCAGUCCCAUGUAAUUUCGUGGUGUUGCAACAAUCUAUUUUGAGAUGUUGCGACAUGUGUUUCCGAAUAUUGCAACUAUCGAUUUUGAGAUGUUGCAACAGAUAUUUUUCUGUAUGUUGCAGUAGUAGUGCUUGAGACGUUGUAAUAGUUUAUUUCAUUGUUGCAGCGGGUUUUCCCGAUGUCGUAGUGGAUUUGUUGUAACAGGCGUUUUUCUAAUGUUGCAGUAGUAGUGCUUGAGAUGUUGCAAUAGCUUUUUUUUAUUGUUGUAGCAGAUUUUUCUCGAUGUUGCAGCAGUAGUGCUUGAGUUGCAAUAGUCCUUUUUUUUUGUUGUUGCAGCAGAUUUUUCCCGAUGUUGCAGUUGAUGUUUUUGGGUGCAGUUUAUAUUUUUGUUUGUUGCAUUAGAUGUUGUUCCAUUGUUGCAAUAUAUUUUUUUGUUUGUUGCGGUAGUUUUUUUUGUUUGUUUCAUUAUAUGUUUUUUUGAUGUUAUAAUAGCAUUUUUUGUUGUUGCGGCUGGUGGGUGGGCUAUGGGGAGGCUCCCCUGGGUGGGUGGACGAAGGCGCUGAGGCUCCCCUGAGUUGGUAGCGGAAGAAGGCGCUGAGGCUCGGCUGGGGCAGGCAGGUUCGUGCGCGUGGAGGCGAAGGAAGGGUGCACGGCUAGGUUCCUUUUCGUCUUUCUGUUUUACAUGGAGGAGGAAGGACGGGCACGGAUUUUUUUCAUUUUCUGUUUUUACGUGCAGAGUCAUCUAUCGGAUGUCACCGUCCGACGCUAAGCACCCGGAUAGGACGUCCGGGCGCUAGCAACUCCGUACUUAUAAGUACCAAUGUAGCGAGAAGAUGAGAAGCUUCUCGAGGUUGCCGAAUAAAAAGACAUCAUGUACAGUCACUUCAUACAUGCACCCUUCAUCUCGCGAUUUUUUUUUUCCAAUUUUUUUUGUUUGGUACUAUAGUACUUUUGUUUUUUUAGUAAUUUUUACUGAAAUAUGAACUAAUUAUAUUUAAAAGAUUCAUCUCGUAAUUUAUAGGUAAAUCAUAUAAUUAGCUUUAAUUUUUAUUUCUAUUUAGUGCUUCAUGCAUUUGCUGAAAGAUUUGAUGUGACGAGAAAUCUUGAAUAGUUUUUUGUUUUUUUUGAGUGAACUAAACAACGCCAAAAAAUGAAUGUCAUUUUAUUCAUCGCUAAAAUAACGUUUUUUUAAAAAAGGGGGGUGUACAUGAAUAGUAUAUAUAAAACAAAGCACUUUGGUUAAUACCCUUUAUGCAGUUCUAGUGCGCAAGGUAGGCAUCUGAGCCACAGACGUUCAAAAAUCUAAAGCCUGUCCAUGAAUAAAGCCUCAUUUAAUUUGGCAUAGCGCCAAUCGGUUUUGGCUCUACGCAAAGAAGCCAGAGUUGGUGAGGUUAAAUAUAUUGGUUAUAUCGGCUUCUCGUUUAUUUUUAGAAAAGAGAUAAAAACAGUUUCUUGCUACAAUUCAGGGAGUACUCGAAGCUGGAGCUCCAACUAAAGAGUGCCUAAA